rnacentral:rRNA from 1 species
AGUGAAUAGAUACCCCGGUAGUCCUAGCCGUAAACGAUACUCGCUAGGUGUCGGCCACGGUGCGACCGUUGUCGGUGCCGUAGGGAAAGCCGUGAAGCGAGCCACCUGGGAAGUACGGCCGCAAGGCUGAAACUUAAAGGAAUUGGCGGGGGAGCACCACAACGGGUGGAGCUUGCGGUUUAAUUGGAUUCAACGCCGGAAAUCUUACCGGGACCGACAGCAACAUGAAGGCCAGGCUGAAGACUUUGCCGGAUUAGCUGAGAGGUGGUGCAUGGCCGUCGUCAGUUCGUACUGCGAAAGCAUCCUGUUAAGUCAGGCAACGAGCGAGACCCACGCCCACAGUUGCCAGCGUACUCUCUGGAGUGACGGGUACACUGUGGGGACCGCCGCUGCUAAAGCGGAGGAAGGAAUGGGCAACGGUAGGUCAGUAUGCCCCGAAUAUCCCGGGCUACACGCGAGCUACAAUGGUUGGUACAAUGGGUAUCUACCCCGAAAGGGGAUGGAAAUCUCCUAAAGCCAAUC